rnacentral:tRNA from 1 species
GCCUCCUUAGCUCAGAUGGCCAGAGCAUCGUACUUGUAAUACGAGGGUCGCCGGUUCGAAUCCGGCAGGGGGCU